rnacentral:rRNA from 1 species
GACGAACGCUGGCGGCGUGCUUAACACAUGCAAGUCGAACGGAAAGGCCCUGCUUUUGUGGGGUGCUCGAGUGGCGAACGGGUGAGUAACACGUGAGUAACCUGCCCUUGACUUUGGGAUAACUUCAGGAAACUGGGGCUAAUACCGGAUAGGAGCUCCUGCUGCAUGGUGGGGGUUGGAAAGUUUCGGCGGUUGGGGAUGGACUCGCGGCUUAUCAGCUUGUUGGUGGGGUAGUGGCUUACCAAGGCUUUGACGGGUAGCCGGCCUGAGAGGGUGACCGGCCACAUUGGGACUGAGAUACGGCCCAGACUGCUACGUGAGGCAGCAGUGGGGAAUAUUGCACAAUGGGCGGAAGCCUGAUGCAGCAACGCCGCGUGCGGGAUGACGGCCUUCGGGUUGUAAACCGCUUUCGCCUGUGACGAAGCGUGAGUGACGGUAAUGGGUAAAGAAGCACCGGCUAACUACGUG